ensembl:snRNA U6 U6 spliceosomal RNA
UUGCUUCAGCUGCACCUAUGCUAAAAUUGGAAUGACACAGGUUAGCAUGGUUCCUGCACAAGGCAACACCCAAAUUCAUGGAGCAUUUCAUAUAUUU